CUGGUCCCAGAAACCUGGCCGCACCAAGUCAGCGCUUCCCAUGCUGGAAGAAGCAAGCAGCCCCAGGGUGGAAUCUUAAAAAUUAAUGAAGAGCAUCGGCGGGGUGCCAUUCAGGACUUACUUGCAAGCCCAGGAUUUACAUUUGGAAAGCGAGUGGUGUUUGAUUCCCACUGUUUAAAAAGGCAACACACGUUCGCUGAUGGUCUACAUUCCAGCUGCACUAGCAGUAAGCUCGCACCAAGUGCCACUGUCCUGCCAAGCACUCUCCUGAAUCACUGCGCUGGAGUCUCAGAGCCACCUGAUGUGUUCUGUACCAUUAUACCCAUUUUGCAAGUGGGGGACACAAACUAAGUGAGGUUAAGUAACCCGUCCAGGGUCACAUUGCUUGUAAGUGACCUGAGUGUUUAUUAUUAGCCACCACCAGGUGCUGGGCAUUGAGCCAGACAGUACGGGAGCAAGAACUAAAAAAGGCAAGGAGGUUGCAAUGGCAAGUAGAUAACACAAAAUAAAGGAGGGUCAUCAUUAUCAGCAACAGCAGCGUCAACUGCCAGACAGGUGGGAGAGGCCACG
rnacentral:sRNA from 1 species